rnacentral:lncRNA from 1 species
UUCAAAGUUUUGUUGUAACAGGAAAAAAGUCCAUUUGUGUACACCUAAGUAAACAAAUAGUUUCCUUGACUUCGCCACGAGGCCGGUCUACUCCACCGCCGUGUUUCUUUUUUGGCAUUUUUCAAUUAAAUAUGAGAUUUAAAGUGCAAAUUAUAGCAUUCAGAGUGGGGCUGGUGUGCUGUAGCACAAACUCGGUCUUUUUUCCCUCACUGAGCCAGACAGCUUCUCAUGGCCGAGUUUUGGGCUCAGAUUAGGCACACGUCUGAUCAGGAGACAGUCUUGUUGGGAGGUAUCCUGGGAGGAGGCCCUGGGGCAGAUCCUGAACAUGCUGCAGGGAACACGCUGCACUUCUUAUUUGGCCUGGAAAAAGCCAGACAGCCACCAGGAGGAGCUGGCAAAUCAGUCUGUGGCGAAGGCUUGAUGUGAGCUGAGCAGUGGAAAACCAAUCGAUGGGUGAUUAAACAUGUGCAGUGCUUUUGAGAAAUUGACUGCAGACUUAACAACAUAAAUGAAAGUCGCUGGAAUCCUGAAAAACAAGCCCAACUCCUCCCCAUAUCAGCCUCAUGCAGUCACUCCAUCCAAGCCCCCAUCUUAUCUUCAGCACCACCAGCGUCUAGACUCCGGGAGGGGUUCUGCCCCAAUUUCCAUCACUGCUGGGAUUUCAUUCUGCUGUGAUGAGCCAUCAGAGUCAGAAUUGCCAAAUAGCAUGACUGAAUUUUCUAUGUCAAUAAAAAAUGUUCAGUUCCUUCUAAUGAUCUGUCCUC